rnacentral:ncRNA from 2 species
UCUGCGGAAGGAUCAUUA